GACAGAGGGGGCAAGCGUUGCUCGGAAUCACUGGGCGUAAAGGGCGCGUAGGCGGGAUGGCAAGUCAGUCGUGAAAUCUCUCGGCUCAACCGAGAAACGUCGGCUGAUACUGCCGUUCUUGAGGGAUGCAGAGGAGACUGGAAUUCCCGGUGUAGCGGUGAAAUGUGUAGAGAUCGGGAGGAACACCGGUGGCGAAGGCGGGUCUCUGGGCAUCUCCUGACGCUGAGGCGCGAAAGCUAGGGGAGCAAACGGG
rnacentral:rRNA from 1 species